GUCAAGCUACAAGGCUCACGCGAUACUUGUUAACUGAUGCCAAGAGACUGGUACCUUGCAAUAGGUCUGGGGACUGAAACCGCUUGUAUCGACUUUCGAAAUGGCAACCUCUAGAAUAC
rnacentral:rRNA from 1 species